rnacentral:rRNA from 1 species
UAGGCGGACGGGUGAGUAAUGUCUGGGAAACUGCCCGAUGAGGGGGAGUAACUACUGGAAACGGUAGCUAAUACCGCAUAACGUCGCAAGACCAAAGAGGGGGACCUUAGGGCCUCUUGCCAUCGGAUGUGCCCAGAUGGGAUUAGCUAGUAGGUGGGGUAACGGCUCACCUAGGCGACGAUCCCUAGCUGGUCUGAGAGGAUGACCAGCCACACUGGAACUGAGACACGGUCCAG